GACAGCAGCCGCCGCGGUAAUACGAAGGGGGCUAGCGUUGCUCGGAAUGACUGGGCGUAAAGGGCGCGUAGGCGGCGGCCAAAGUCAGGCGUGAAAUUCCCGGGCUCAACCUGGGGGCUGCGUUUGAUACUUGGUUGCUUGAGUGGGGAAGAGGGUCGUGGAAUUCCCAGUGUAGAGGUGAAAUUCGUAGAUAUUGGGAAGAACACCGGUGGCGAAGGCGGCGACCUGGUCCUUUACUGACGCUGAGGCGCGAAAGCGUGGGGAGCGAACAGGAUUAGAUACCCCUGUAGUCCCUGUCUCUUAUAC
rnacentral:rRNA from 1 species